AAGUCGUAACAAGGUUUCCGUAGGUGAACCUGCGGAAGGAUCAUUAAAAAAAGAGAAACGUCCCGUUUUUUUUCAUAAGAAUGGGUUCUAUUCCCUUAAACCGUGUCUACAUACCUUUGUUGCUUUGGCAGGCCGCCUUCGGGCGUCGGCUCCGGCUGAUAGUGCCUGCCAGAGGACCCAAACUCUAUGUUUAGUGAUGUCUGAGUACUAUAUAAUAUUUAAAACUUUCAACAACGGAUCUCUUGGUUCUGGCAUCGAUGAAGAACGCAGCGAAAUGCGAUAAGUAAUGUGAAUUGCAGAAUUCAGUGAAUCAUCGAAUCUUUGAACGCACAUUGCGCCCCUUGGUAUUCCGAGGGGCAUGCCUGUUCGAGCGUCAUUAUAACCACUCAAGCCUGGCUUGGUAUUGGGGUUUUCGCGUGUUCGCGGCCCUUAAAAUCAGUGGCGGUGCCGUCUGGCUCUAAGCGUAGUAAUUUCUCUCGCUAUAGGGUUCCGGUGGUUACUUGCCAAAACCCCCCAUUUUUUUCUAGGUUGACCUCGGAUCAGGUAGGGAUACCCGCUGAACUUAA
rnacentral:rRNA from 1 species